rnacentral:rRNA from 1 species
GAUGAACGCUAGCUACAGGCUUAACACAUGCAAGUCGCGGGGCAGCAUGGGGGUUGCUUGCAAUCCCCGAUGGCGACCGGCGCACGGGUGAGUAACGCGUAUCCAACCUGCCCUUCACCACGGGAUAACCCGGCGAAAGUCGGACUAAUACCGUAUGUUGUCCAUUGACGGCAUCCGAUUUGGACGAAAGGUUUGGCGGUGAAGGAUGGGGAUGCGUCCGAUUAGCUGGACGGCGGGGUGACGGCCCACCGUGGCGACGAUCGGUAGGGGUUCUGAGAGGAAGGUCCCCCGCACUGGAGCUGAGACACGGUCCAGACUCCUACGGGAGGCAGCAGUGAGGAAUAUUGGUCAAUGGGCGUAAGCCUGAACCAGCCAAGUAGCGGGCAGGAGGACGGCCCUAUGGGUUGUAAGCUGCUUUUAUGCGGGGAUAAAGUGGCCCACGUGUGGGUUUUUGCAGGUACCGCAUGAAUAAGGACCGGCUAAUUCCGUG